GCAAAUGCAAGCCCUUCUGCUGGGGAUGGAGAUGUGAGAGGUUAGGUUUGUUGCCAGGACCGGGUUCGGGAGGGCAGCCUGUGCCCAGGAGGAGUGGGAACGCAGGGGUCCGCUGCGCGGCGGCGCGGGGAGCAAGCGCAAGCCCCUCCGCACGGCCCGGGGGCUGCGAGCUCCGCUUCACGGCCGGGACCGGGCUCUGGGGAGCCUCCUGUGCUUCAGCAGGGCGAGACAUGCAGCAGUCUUCUGCAAGCACAGGUGUGACAAGGACAACCUCCACCAGGCAAAGGACAGCAAUUGAAGACGUCCUGGCUUGAAGAGCAGCUUGCAGGUCAGAAGCAGAGCCAUCUGUCUCCUGAGGCAGACUUCCAGUG